GGGUGUUGUUGUGGUUUGAGCACUAGACUAUGAUUCUGGAGACCAGGGUUCAAAUCCCAGCAUGGCCA